UGAUUGUUACCGAAUAACUGACUAUUACUAAAUAAAUAAUUGUUCUGAUUGACUGAUUGUUAAUGAAUAUUACUGAUUGAUUAAUUGCUAUUGAAAAAUAAUAAAUGAUUUUGAACUUAAAUUAGACCAAAAUAUUGGUUGGAAAGUGAAUGUUUGAAUACUCAUUGAGUUUGAAAAGUUCAAUAUAUAUAAUUUAAUAUGUUUUAUAAUUGUUUAAGUGUUCGGAUUAUAGAAAUACCACUAAGUGUAUACUCAGCG
rnacentral:lncRNA from 1 species